AUUUAAAAUCUUUUGAAAUAUUCAAAAUGUAAUUGGUUUACUUUUAAUUUUAACAAUUUGGCAUUCUAAAAUUUAUUCGAUAGUUUAAUAUAAUUUUUUUCUUCGUAUGGAAUUACUAAUUGAACAAAACUGAUUAUAUAUAGAGAGAGAGAAUGCAAAAUACAAUAUCUAGGUGAAUUUUUUUUUGUUAAAUAGAAAUGAUCACAUGCUCCACAACUUCUUCUGGGGCAUGUAUUCUUCUUUUUAUCUUGGCAAAAGAAGAAAAACACAAUAUUUAAAUAAACUUCUUUUUGUUUACUUUUUUUUAACUCUAAGUUUCUUUGCUUUAGUUUUCUACUUAACUGUUUCAUUAUAAUUUUACUUAAUUAUGAUAUAAAAUUAAUCGUUAACCGCAGCGAAGCGCGGGUUCUAUACUAGUUAAACUUAAGCAUCAGAAUUGAAAAAAGAAAGAAUCAAUUUUCGAUAUUUAUUAUUUUCUUCGGAUGUGAGAGUAGAAGUUGAGUUAGAAUACUCUCAAAAGCACCAAGGGGUUGGUGCUUUUGAGUUUUUAGCUAUUGGAUGGAGAGAUGUAGGGUUGAGAUGAUGGUGGAAGGUGGUGACAGGUGGAAUAGUGUUUGAUCCAAAGGUUAUUAGUAAUCAAUAAAUAGAUCCAAGGGCUAGAAACUCAAAAGCACCAAGUGGUUGGUGCUUUCGAGAGUAUUCUAGCUCAAUUCAUGAGAAUAGUAAAGAAUAGAUUUCUUUGUGGUUUUUU
rnacentral:lncRNA from 1 species